rnacentral:rRNA from 1 species
GAUUAACGCUGGCGGCGUGCAUAACACAUGCAAGUCGAACGAUGAAACUUUACUGACUUCUUCGGAAUGAUUUAAAGCGGAUUAUUGGCGAACGGGUGAGUAACGCGUGAGUAACCUGCCUUACACAAGGGGAUAGCCUCUGGAAACGGAGAAUCAUACCCUAUGAAACCAGACAAUCGCAUGAUAAUCUGGUCAUAAUGUUUAGUGGUGUAAGAUGGACUUGCGUCUGAUUAGCUAGUUGGUGAGAUAAAAGCUCACCAAGGCAACGAUCAGUAGCCGGCGGUGGAGAGUGAACGGCAACAUUGGGACUGGGACACGGCCCAGACUCCUACGGGAGGCAGCAGUGGGGAAUGUUGCACAAUGGGGGGAACCCUGAUGCAGCGAUGCCGCGUGAUUUAGAAGGCCUUCGGGUUGUAAAAAUCUUUUGUAUAGGAAGAAAAUGACAGUACUAAAAGAAUAAGGUCCGGCUAAUUACGUG